AUUCCAUCUCCAAUAGCGUAUAUUAAAGUUGUUGCAGUUAAAAAGCUCGUAGUUGGAUUUCUGGCGUGAGGCGACUGUUCCUAGGCUCUAUGCCUAGUGUAACAGAUCGCCUCGGCCAUCCUUCUGGAAAACGGCCCUGCUCUUCAUUGAGUUGGGGUCGGGAUCCAGAUCUUUUACUUUGAAAAAAUUAGAGUGUUUAAAGCAGGCUUAUGCCUUGAAUACAUUAGCAUGGAAUAAUAAUUUAGGACUUUGGUUCUAUUUUGUUGGUUUCUAGAACUGAAGUAAUGAUUGAUAGGGAUAGUUGGGGGUGCUAGUAUUCAGCGGCCAGAGGUGAAAUUCUUGGAUUCGCUGAAGACUAACUUAUGCGAAAGCAUUCACCAAGGAUGUCUUCAUUG
rnacentral:rRNA from 1 species